rnacentral:lncRNA from 1 species
UAUCACGAUGUAAUCCUGCCUAGUCUAUUCUCUGUGUAAAUCAGGCUGCAUUUUCCCGAUGAAGAAGUUGGGCCCUGGCCUCUGAUUCACAGAGAUCCUCUUGUGUCUGCCCCCUGAGUGCCGAGAUUAAAGAACAGCAACAGAUAAAACAGUCGUCUGCUCGGGCAAAUUUCUCAUGGAUCAUUGAUGCUGUAAACAAGCUAGCCAUGCAUCAUCUCCAUCCACCCAGCGGACGCUCCACCCACCCAGCGGACGCUCCACCCACCCAGUGGACGCUCCAUCCAUCCAGCGGACGCUCUACCCACCCAGAGGAUGCUCCUUGUGUCCUUCAGCUGCUAACGGAACUGAAGAAUAAAAUGAAACCAAUCAGAAAUAUUCAGUUAUUGAGUCACGAAAGCUUCAGGCAGCACUAAAAAGAGAGAAAAUUAGAUAAAGAAGAGUGGGUCUCAAACAGGCUCAAGAGAGGGACCUCAGUGUGGUUCUAGCCAAAGUCAGAGUUCAUGACCAUCCAACUCCAGCUCCAUGGGGUCCCACACCCCAGCCUCACUGACAGCUGCAUUCAUACCCACAUGCACACAUGCACAC